GGCACUAUGUCCGAGUGGUCCAAGGAGUGUGACUCAAGCGAAAGCUUGCCCUGGAAUGGGGUUUCUCAUCUGUGUAUGCAGGCAGGGGUUCGAAUCCCCUUGGUGUCA
rfam:Sphaerobolus stellatus SS14 unplaced genomic scaffold SPHSTscaffold_5, whole genome shotgun sequence.